ACCAAUUCUCCUGCCUCAGCCUCCUGAGUAGCUGGGAUUACAGGUCCCCUGGAGGACAGCCUGAGUUUAAAAUCUCUACCACCAAGUGAGGAAGACAAUGAUGAUGCCCACAUUUUACCAUCACCUGUGCAGGGUACGUACCUUGAACUAACUCACUUUUUGAGAAACCUACUUGCUGUCUUUAAUAUAUAGGUACCUUAAUCUGGGUUUCUGUUAAAAAUAUUGGGGGUCUGGUGAGAGCAAAUGAUUUUGCAAGUGUAUAGCUAUGAGCAGAGGGGCUGUAGAAAUGUGUGUGAACCCAGAGGACCAGCCAGGAGCUUUUGUGUGAGCCAGUGUGUCUUCACCGGGAGUAGGAGAAGUGAGUGCACCUCUCACUGACUUAUCCUGAUGUUGGUGGUUCUAAAGAGUAGAUUCUGGAGAAUCUCAGCAGGGAAGAGGAUACCUUUCCAGGUAGGCAACAAGACAUCAGAUGGGAUCUAAUAAAACAGCAUUUCCAGGAACCUUCAUGUUAUACCUGCUGCUUGGGAGGCUGAGGGAGGGUGUAGAAAGAGAAAAAGAAAAAGUAAAUAUA